CAUAUACAAUAUAAUCUAGGCAUAUAAAAAUUCAAUCAAUUGUGAUUCCAAAAGGAUUUGUAUUUCAAAUUCAAUUCCAUUGGCCAUUGUCACCCACUGCGGUGCGGUGGCGUGGCAAAGAGCGAACUUGUCGGCUAGGCCAUGAAAUGGGAUUAGAUCAAAUCUGAGCUAAUAGAAAAAUUCUAUUAUUUUAAUAUAUUAUCUGAAAAAUGGUUGCAAACAAAUAUGGGUCCCCCCUUUUCACUCGACAGUGUAGAGUGUGCUACACUCAACCCAACAGCCAUGGUCAUAUUGUAAAAAUAUUCUGGAAAACAACUUUAGCAAAACCUUCUUGUCAUUGUCAACAUUUCAAAGUUGGUGAGAUUUAAAUUAUAUUUUAUGCCCAUAGUGAGGACCUUGCCAAGCGCCCGACACGAUGAUAACAUUUCAAGUGAUUCUCAGCCCUGCAAACAACUUUAAAGAAAUGAUGAUGAUGACGAUGACGAUGACGACGAUUUCGGACGAACUUUGCCCAUUCUCGAUUUGAAUAAAUGAUUUAGCCCAAGACGGGGAAAAAUAUAUACGAAAACAAAACGAUAAACAACACAAAAUAUUAAAAUCCAACACGCAAAUUUUCAUACAUUUGUUGUAUUGUGUGUGUGUUUGGAAUAUUUUUUGAGUUUGUUAUGCUUAGCAAUGGUGAAGAUGAUGAUGAUGAUGACACAACACAACGAACAAGUUAUUGAGGAUAUACAACAGCACAAACAAUCCUGUCUAAGGAUAUUACAUUGUAGAGCGCUCGAGGCGAUGAGGGGGAAGGCAGCAAAUAGUGAGAAAGAACACAGCAGGACACAGCAACGCCAAACAACUAGAAAUACACACUUGGUAUUAAGGACACAAAUCUAACAUUUGGAUGAUGCCAAGCAAACUGCAACUGCUCUAUAAUGAACCGUCACAAUUUUUUUUAUUUUAAUAAUAUCAAUUUCAAUAUUUUUUAGAAAAAAAAUCUUUAUAUU
rnacentral:sRNA from 1 species